CCCCGCCCCGGUCGCUUGGGCCCUGGGUGGCAGGUUUGCGCAGCCCUGCGGCGAUUUCAAGGCAAGUGACCGGAAUGGGUCGGAAGCGCGUCCCGGUGAGUUUCAGGGAGCGUCCCUUAGGUUUCCGGGGGCGGCGUUGAACCUCCCUAGCCCCAGUCUUCCCAUCCCAGGAGACCCGCCCCUAGUGGCUCGAACGCCCCUAGCCAGGAGAGCCCCGAGUAGUGCCACUUGUGGAAGACUACGUGCCUGUCGGAAUUAGGAACCGCACCUCCCCUUCCGCUAAGCGGUGGGAGGCCAGGCGGGUGACGCGGAGCAGUGGAGCCAUGCAGCCUGUUUUACCAAAAGAUGAAAUCAAACCAGAAAUCAAAAAUGGAAGGAUAGGUGGCUGGCAAGAUGGUUGAAUAGGAACAGCUCCGGUCUGCAGUUCCCAGUGAGAUCAACACAGAAGGAUUGUCCAUGCUUCAAUCAUUUCUAUCCAAUGAAAUCUCUACAGAAGGCCCAAGGGGACUGAUGAGGUAUGGAGAACUUCCGGACAGCAGAACAUGUGGAGGGUUCUGGAGGGUGGUGUGUCUGGAGAGGGCGUGAAGGCUCCACACACCUUCCCGUAUGCCUUUUCUAUAAAUCCCUUAUCUAUAUCCUUUGUAAUAACCUUCAUGAUAUACCAGCAGAUGUGUUUCCAAGUUCUGUGAAGUGCUCUAGCAAAUUAAUCAAACUUAAAGAGAGGGUCAUGGGAACCUCAGUUUAUAACCUUGUUGGUCAGCACAAGUAAAGCAACCUAGGGCUUGCAAUUGGCAUCUGAAGUGGGACCUCAUCCUUUAACUUGUGGGACUGAGCCCUCAACCUGUGGAAUUCUAAUGCCAUCUCCAGGUAGAUGGCAUCAGAAUUGAAUUGGAGGGCACCCAGCUGGUAUCCACGGCAGAACUGAUUGCUCACUUGCUGGGGAGAAAUCUACUGGUCACAGAAGUCUUCUAUGCUGAUUGUUUUGUGGUGUGAGAACAGAGGAAAAAUAGUUUGAGCGCUUUCCACUCAACUAUUAAGGAAUUGAAUACAUAAUUUUAAAACUCCCCCAAAAGAAAUCUCCAGACCCAGAUGGUUCACUGGAGAAUUCUAAAAAAUGUUUAAAAAAGAAUUAACUCAAAUUUUUAAUAAUCUCUACCAGAAAACAGAAUAGGAAAGGAUACUUCCCAGUUCAUUAUAUAAGGCAGUAUUACCCCGAUACCAAAACCAGAAAAAGUACUGAAAAAUAAAACUGCAGACCAAUAUCCCUCAU
rnacentral:lncRNA from 1 species